AGCCGGUGAUGACUUCUUUUUUUCUGACACCUCGUAUGAGCUGCAUAGCAGCAAGUGAUUAGGAGUUUCAGUCUGAGGCUA
ensembl:snoRNA